AUGUGUGGACAGAGCAGGGGACAGCAGUGUGUGGUGACACCACAGAGGACUGCUGGCUAUGUAUUCAGCUUUCCUCCUGCUUGGGUAGACAACACUGGGCCACGGUUCCCUGAGCUGGAUGAGGCUGGAGCGGCAGGGAUACAGAGGAGGGGCAGAAGGAGUGGGGGUGCCCCUCACUGCUCCCAAACACCAGCCUGGUGGGGCGGGCCUAGAGAGGGAGGAGAUGGAGAGGCCAGCAGGACCCUCUGCCUCUUUAUAGAAGAAGAGAAUCGGUCCCGUCGCCUUAGAGCCAGCGGCCCCAUGUUUACCCCUGCCCUACCUCAGGCCUGCCCUACCCUGCCCUACCUCAGGGGCGAGGUGAAUUCUACCCGGGAUGGUGUUGUCCAGAAGAAAACCCAGAAAUCCACCAACGAACAUGCCCAUGGUCAGCAGCACCUGAGCGACCUGGUGCAGCUGGAGAAUCCCUGGAGUGGAGACAAAGCGACACAUCCAUGGGGACCAGGGGCCAUGCGGGCUCUGCCCCUGGAGCAGAGACAGUCCAGAGGGCAGGGAACAGUCACCUGUCUGGAGCAUCUCGCGGUUCUUACUCACCCAGUUGGGAAUAGUGAGCCCACAGUAGAUGGAGAAGCCAAAGGCAAAGAGGCUCCUGGACGAGUUCAUGUCCACGUACUGCGGGAGACAGGACCCAGAGGCAGGCAGGGCGGUCAGCACCUUCACCGCUGGUUUGCAGAGGUCUGGAUGCUUCUGGCUGUUUCUUUGCUCCAUUUAGGGGCCGACGUAGUUUCUGGGACCCAGGACUCCCUUCUCCUCCUCCUCUGCCCCAGCUCCGUCCCAUCCAUCUCAAUCCCACCGGCUCCUCUCAGGAGAGGCGCUGCUGCUGGCGUCCCAAGAGCACCUCGCUCGCCUCACCUGCAGAUUGGAGAUCCCCAUAGCGGUGAUGACCCCAAACAUGACCAGGGACAUGCCUCCGAUCACGGGGGUGGGAUGGUGGCAAACGCAGCCCCAAUCUUCCCAAAUGUGCCCAUUAGGAGCAGCACACGGCCCACGGUGACAAUCACUGCCCGGCUCCCCACCUGCAGCAGCCAGGGACAGAGAGUGAGGAGCACCAGCCAGGCCAGGCGCCCCCAAGGCCUCUGCCCACUGCAGGAGCAGCACCACCCCAUCCCACACCGCUCUCUCUGCUCCCAAAGGGGGCUUGGGAAAGGAUGA
rnacentral:lncRNA from 1 species